GAGGCUUUAGUAUAUUUAAGUAUAGUUUAUUUUCAAUAAGCAGGAUAGAAGUCUUAU
rnacentral:tRNA from 1 species